ACCAUGUGCGAUGGCCACGCGGUGGUGAUGAAUGCUGUGGUAGUUAGGGAGUGAUGAGUGGACGCUUAGUUCAGCGACUGGCGGAGCUGAACCUUAUCCGUGAUCCGGCCACCGUAGGUACCAAGACCCUCGUCAUCACCAGGCCAAGACAACACCACCCGCAACCAGAAGAUGGCGACACCGACCAAGAAACAGACCGCCUGCUGGGUCAACAGAGGUCAGACGACCCCGGGUUCUACGAUGAAAAGG